rnacentral:rRNA from 1 species
GGUUUCGAUCAUACCAGCACUAAUGCACCGGAUCCCAUCAGAACUCCGUAGUUAAGCGUGCUUGGGCUAGGGUAGUACUAGGAUGGGUGACCCCCUGGGAAGUCCUCGUGUUGCAACCC